CUGUGGUUGUUUCUUGGGUAUUGCUCGCAUCUGAUGAGUCAGUGCUUCCAGCAAGCCCAGGCCAGGCUGGACAGUAUGGCAUAGGUGAGGCUACUGACCUUUACUGCUGGGCUUUUACCUGGCUGCCUCAGGCCUCUGCUGUGGCACUGUGCACCAUCCGGGGAAAAAAAUAAAUACGUCACUCCUGGAUUUGGUGGCAAUGUCACGGGCAGAACCCCAGCCCAAAGAAUUUCUGAGGGCACUGAGCAAGACUCUCAUUAUGUCUCCUUGUCAUUUGACAGAUCCAUUACAGCCUUUUUUGUUGAUUCAUCCCUGAGGCCAGCUCCAGGUGUGCCCUCCGGCUUUAAUUUCUGUGGGCACCGGCCUGUAUCUGUACAUCCCGUAAUGAUUUUCAUCUGAGUAGCGUCAGACAUGAACAAACCAGAGGCCACACAAUUCCACAGACUAUGCAGACCCUUCGUAACCAAUAAAUCACCACAACCAACCUCUUCAGAAUCAUUAUCGUAAGUAAGUACCAACACAUAUAGGGCAUUCACCUCUAAUCAGGAUGAUCCUGGAGUAAAGAAGGACAUGGGUAGGGAGCCAGGUGGGAAGAAAUACAGUGCAGAGAACAAACGAGCACAUUACAAGCCAGUAACUCAAAGACACCUUAGAGAGGAAUCUAACUCACUCACUGCAACGUGCAUUUACUGCACUUACUGCAGCAAGUAGCCCUUUUCUGACACAACUUGCAGAAUUCAGUUCAGCACAGACACACGAUGCCAUGAGAAGAACUAACACGUUCAAAGUAGCAGCCUACUGUAGACAAAACCAUAGUAAAUAGGAUGUCUAGACUGUUGAUCACAAAAGCUUUCUCACUACCUCUGUUACAAGGUUUACAAAAGGGACAGUUCUACCCAUUAUUUGCUUGAGUGAAUCCUAUGUUUCUGUACUUAGAGAAGCCUAACAGAAGCAAAAGAAAUGCAGUAAUUUUUUCAUGCACCUUCUGCUUGUUAGGGCAAAUCUUUAUUUCAACAUACAGGAGGGUAAAAACAGAUCAUUCUUCAUCCUCUAAGAGCCUGCUCUAACACAUGGCAGAAAUGGGUUUAGGCAGUUAUUUUCUGAGUAUUUCUUCCCAAAGCACUGAGAUGCCCAGAGAACGAGUUGGGUAGAUGUACAUCCCAAACCAAGCCAAUCCUGGUCCCAUCUCUCUCACACUUCUCUGUAACUUCAAGCUAAAGGGGCCCAUACGUACUGCCUAUCAGCUAGUGCAUUUUUACUAGCUUCCAGCCCUUGCUUAAAUAAAGAAACAAAACCACUUAAGUAAAUCCAGUCCACCUCUCUGUCAAGGAUCCCCUUCCCAUGCAACCUGACCCGACAAUCCCACUGGGCUCCUGCAGGUUCUCCAGCACAGUACUACCAUCAUUCUGCAGAGAUUUCACCUCUCUAAUGGCAAAACCCAGCUCCGAGCCACCCGUAGGUCACCCUCCACUAUGAAACAACCCUUUGACUUUUCUCUUAGAUACUCAGGCUGCUCUUUAUUUACAAAGGCCUGGAUGUUGAGAUCGCACCACCACAAACAAAAACCUGUAUUUAUUUACAGAUACCAUUACAGUGGGCUAUCAAAUUCUUGCUAGGAGCACUGUGUAUAAAUCUGGUAAUACAUAUUCACAAAAACU
ensembl:lncRNA